CGUCAGACGCAGUCUGCAAGGGAACGCUUCGCAUCGGCCUCACUUUGCUGGUCUGUUCUGCCUGCAUUUUCAUUCAGACAGGCUUCAGACCUCCAGGGAGGCACAUUGUCUGUGCUGGAAUGCUCCCCAGAUGACCUUCAACCUCACCGCUGUGAAGGAGAAUGCUGGCUGUAACGUCACGCUACUGGUUUGCAUUACACAUGCUAAAAUCAUCACCACAGCAGGCGGCCGUCUCGAUGGCUCUCAGUAAAUACAGACGUGCACUAGCGAAGCGUGGUCAUUUUAGAAAGUGGAAGUUCCACAUAAAAAAGCUCUCCCCUUACAUUUCUUUGUAGAAAGUGACUUAAUAAAAGUAAAUACAUUUCCUUGUAUUCACUUAUAGGGAAGCACAUCCAAUCCAUUGACGUACAGACCGCACGAUGCUGUGUUGUACUUGAAUGACCCCCUGGAGAGGCCAGAGAUGGCCGAGGGUGGGAUUUUCCCUGGUCUCCUAUCUGUGAGGUCUGCGUGCUAACCACUCGACCAAUGUGCAGCCCACAUGAAUUUCAAUCCACUGAAAAUGACAUUGAUCACUGUAUUCGAUACUUGCUUAUGGCUCCUUUUGCAUGAAUCACUGUUUUAAUAAUUAUUAUUAUUUCAAAGUGCCUUUCAGGACACCCGAGGUCGCUUUCAUCUGAUCUGGCAUGGAGGUGAAUAAGCCUGUGGCACUGUUAAGGUGCUAUGGAGACCAGUAUGCUUCGAUAGCGGCCUUCAGCUCAUCUUUGAUGUUUGUCUGAUGUUACUCAUCUUCCUCUUCACAAUACAAUAGAGGUGCCAGGUCAUGUUGGGAUAUGAAGUCAGCAUCUCCGUAAAGGUUUUCAGCAGAUAGAAGCAUGAAGUGACCUUCUCUCCUAUGACUGUCCAGUCUUCCUCCAGACCCUAGGAUCUCUUGACUUUGUUUACUAAAUUGUCACAUUUGUGUGAAAUGGUUGUCACCCCAAAAUAUCACCCAUCAUCAUGUGUUUACUCAUUUUGUUUCCUUCAUUUGUCUUUGUCUGCUUCAUGUUCGCGUCUGCUCAUCAUUCACACUAUUUGUCUUCCAGCAUUGCAAGCAUGUUUCCAGCUAAAACUGAUUUUGCACAUAUGAAACACAUCUCAGGUCUCCACACAUGCAGUACUUUGGAACGUGAAUUACAAUUGACCUACAUAACACCUCCGGCAAGGGAGAUGGACAAGCCUGGCUGGUACUUCAACAUUUGUGUGAACACAGAGAAGAAAGAUGAUUCUUAUCUUGGCUUCCUCUUUCCAUUCUGGAUGUGUGCUGUUUCUCUGGACUUGACCUACUUAUAUGUACAUCUUGAGCAAGAUGGACAUUUUCCUGUGUGGUGCAUGCCUGGGAACUGAGCUAUGUCAUUUUUGGUCCUCUCUGUUGUGUCAUGCAGCGUUUCAUAUUUUACAUGACAAAAAUCUCACAGCACACCACCAAACAAAAAUGUAGUGGAAACGUCAUGCCUUUCUAGGCACCUUCUGCCUUCAGUGAAAGAGCGUUUGCCUGACACUGCUUCACAUACGUAGAUGAAUAAAGAUUCAUUAUUUGUAGUAAGUAAAUAAUCACGUUUGGUCCAAGGAAGUGAAACUGGAUGAUCUCUCACUGGCAUACACACUUGGAAGGUCGAAUUGGAAUUGGAUAUUUGCCAAGUGGUUUGUUGAUUCAAAAAAC